rnacentral:rRNA from 1 species
GAAUUGCGAUAAGUAAUGUGAAUUGCAGAUUUCCAGUGAAUCAUCGAAUCUUUGAACGCACCUUGCGCUCCUUGGUAUUCCGAGGAGCAUGCCUGUUUGAGUGUCAUUUGAAUCAAUCAACCAUGCUUUCGAGCAUGGCUUGGAGUUGGGGGUUGCUGGCGUUCGCCGUCAGCUCUCCUUAAACGCAUUAGCGAUCGAGUCGGGCUAGUCUUUUGACGUGCACGGCCUUGGACGUGAUAAUGAUCGUCCGGGCUGGAGCGUCGGGUUGGCAUGACAUAGAUCGCUUCCUAACGAAAAAGAUGGGGGAAGGCAAAGGCAAAGUGAUCGGUCCGUGGAGCUUAGCUACUAGGCAGUCUUGAGAGAGGCUGGCGAAAACGAGCGAGACGGAACGAGAUCAGGGCUUGAGCUUUCUUUCUUCUUGGACUCUUGACCUCAAAUCAGGUAGGACUACCCGCUGAACUUAA